UUGACUGUCUCAGAAACGGAUAUUUUGGCGUAUAUGCUGGAUCAACCUAAACAAUCUGAGAUCCAGAUAACUGCAUUUCUACGAGAGAUGAUACAACAUUGGCCCUUCUCGCAAAAAGUAGAUGUGUAUUGUUUCGGAAUUGUCCUUUGGGAGCUUAUAACUGGCAUGCUUCCUUUCCAGAACAUGACUGCAGUUCAGGCAGCAUUUGCUGUGGUGAACUAGGGUGCCCAACCUGUUAUUCCAAAUGAUUGUCUCCCUGUUCUGAGUGAGAUCAUGAUCCGUUGCUGGGACGCUAACCCAGAAGUUCGUCCUCCCUUCACUGAGAUUGUGAAGAUGCUUGAGAAUGCGGAAACUGAGAUAAUGACAACUGUUCGUAAGGCUCGUUUCAGGUGUUGUAUGGCUCAACCAAUGCCAAUAGACUGAUCCAGAAUAAGAGUGAAGAACAGAAAGGAUAAGAGGAUAUAAAUGAAAAUCAAAAUAGCAGGUUUAAGAAUCUAAAUAUAAGUUGGUGUAUGUAUCAGUACUUCUCUCUUUUUUUAUCUUUCAAAUCUUAUUUUCUCCUUUGUUUUCAAAUAGAAGAAGGUAAGGAUUAAGACUGCUGUUUUUUUUAUUUUGGUGAGUUGAACCAAUGGUGUUGUAGCUUUAGUAGUAGUAAGAGGAUCAUAGAUGUGAA